rnacentral:sRNA from 1 species
CCGUGGAGGGCCCCACCGGCUGCCGAGCGCCCGCCACCGCCCCCUUGGCCUUUUCCCGGUCCCCGCCCUGCGCCCGCUGCUGUCCCCGUGCCCGAGAACUGGGAGGAUGGGGCUGAGCCGCUUGCCUGACUUUUGAUCCGACCAGUAAUCACUUUGCCCGUGUGGUGCAUGGCCUGUUGCCUGAGGCUUCCCGGCGCGUGGGGCUGUUUGGUCCCCUCCGGAGUGCGGUGAGGCGGGCCGAGCCGGGACUGCCUGGGUUUGGGGAUAACGUUCCCACCUCCACCCCUGUUGCAGCAAGGGAAAUUGAGGCUGAGGGAACUGGGCCCAGGGACGGCGAGCCGUGGCUGCCUCUCCAGUCCGGGCCCCGAAGGGCUGCUCGUGGAUGAACCAGACUGAUUUUAAGGGGUGAAGAGGGUGCGUUUCAAUCAGAUGCUUCUGGAACGUCGAAAUUGUCUUCUUUGGAAAGAACCAUCCCCUCUUUGGGCUUCAGAGGCCCAAAUUGAGGCGCAAUGGUGAGAGGAUGUGGUGGUCUACUCUGAUGUCAAUCUUGAGGGCUAGCUUCCGCCAAGAACUUCUUACCUGGGCAUGUAUUUCUAUCUAUUCACUUUUUACCCUCUGGCGUAGAACUUCUUCCUACCAAACUGUCAUCCUCUGCACCUCUCCUGGCCUUCCUCACAAGUUUGUAAGCAUUAAGAAGGUGCGCUGCAUGCUUCAUU